CGUGUAGGCGGCCAAACAGGUCCGUUGUGAAAACUGGAGGCUUAACCUUCAGACGUCGACGGAAACCGUAUGGCUAGAGUCCGGAAGAGGAGAGUGGAAUUCCUGGUGUAGCGGUGAAAUGCGCAGAUAUCAGGAAGAACACCAAUGGCGAAGGCAGCUCUCUGGGACGGUACUGACGCUGAGACGCGAAAGCGUGGGAGCGAACA
rnacentral:rRNA from 1 species